UUUUAAAGACGUUUUUCCACUCAAAAGAAGAAUAUUGUGUUUUGAAGUGUCAAUCGCAGUGACAACUGUGCUAAUCUCUCAUCCCCCUAAACCCAUGGAUACAAUUCUACAGUUCCUAUCUGUGCUUAACAGUUUGUCCUUGGGCAAGACACUUCAAGUGUCUCAUUUAAGUGUGAUGUGAAAGCCAGAGCAGUUGUGAAGAGUGAUUGGGUAAUGAAUUAAAUGCUUAUUCAUAACUUAAUUAGCAUAAGGUAUACCAUCUUUUAACAUGAAAUAGAGAGAGAUACUUAGAUCGAUCCAGAGGGGAAUUUAAGUUGGGCUUUAGGAAGUUGUUGCAGGUUUGCUGCAACCUUUACACUGCGCUUCUCAGUUGCCUUUGUGUCUCAGUCAAAGGUCUCAUUGAGGUUUAACAGGAGGACUGGUCAGCUAAGGUCAGCAGAUCUGUGUCAGGACAGUAAACUGACUUUGUAGUAAAAUACUGUACUUGGUGUUUUUGUUGUAGGAGUGUAUCCUGUCUGGUUUAAUGUCUCUUCAUGGAAAGAAAGUUCUUCACAUUGACAACCAUCCAUAUCAUGGAGGAGGGAGUACAUCCAUUUCACCCAUAGAGGAGCUGUACAAGAGAUUUAAACUUCCGGGUCCUGCUAAAACCAUGUGUCGAGGAAAAGAGUGGAAUGUAGACCUCAUUCCUAAAUUCUUUCUCGCAGGCAGUGAACUGGUGAAAAUGUUGGUCUAUACUGAAGUCACUCGAUAUCUGGACUUUAAAGUUGUUGAAGGCAGUUAUGUUUACAAAGGUGGAAAAUUGCACAAAGUCCCAGCUACAGAAGAAGAUGCCCAAGUUUCAGAUCUUAUGGGCAUGUUUGAUAAAAGAAGAUUCAGGAAGCUCCUCCUUUUCGCCAUGAACUUUGACUUAAGAAACCCACGGACAUACCAGGAUGUGGACCCAAACAAGACCACCACCCGGGACCUAUUCUCUCGCUUUGAUCUGGGGCUUGAUGUGAUGGAGUUCACAGGACAUGCCAUAGCCUUAUGCAACAACAACAGUUACCUGGAUGAGCCUUGUAGAGAGACCAUCAGGAUGAUCAGUCUUUACUGCCAGUCUCAGUCCCGACACAACAGCAGCCCAUACCUCUAUCCUGUCUAUGGCCUGGGGGAGAUAGCACAGGGGUUUGCAAGGUUGAAUGCAGAGUAUGGAGGAACCCUUUUGCUGAACCGACCAAUAGAUGAGAUUGUGAUGGAGAACGGUAAAGUGAAAGCUGUGAAGUCAGAGGGAAAGCUGUUCUACUGCAAGCAGCUGAUUUGCGACCCCAGCUAUGUUCCUGGGCGAGUGAGGAAAGUGGGGCGUGUGAUCCGGGUCAUGUGUUUACUAAAUCAUCCUGUCAAACACACUCACGAGGCCAGCUCCUGUCAGAUCAUCAUCCCUCAGACACAACUCAACCGAAAAUCUGAUAUUUUCAUAUCAGUGGUGUCCUUUACACACAACGUGGCCUCAGCUGGAAUGUACAUUGCCACAAUAAGCACAAACGUGGAGACCAAUAACCCAGAGAAAGAGGUGCAGCCUGCAGUAGAGCUGUUGGAACCCAUUGUGCAAAAGUUUGUCUCAGUUAGUCAUCUGCUUGUUCCUAAUGAAGACGGAAGAAGAAGCCAGAUAUUUGUGUCCCGAUCCUAUGAUGCCACAAACCAUUUUGAGAGCGAGUGUGAGGACAUCAAAGACCUGUACCGCAGAAUCACCGGCUCAGAGUUCAGCUUUUUAGCCUCAAGUCGACACCAGUCUCACAACUCAGAUUGCGAAGACUGACAAAUAUUUGACUGAUAUGAACUUAAAAUAAUGGCUAUAUGAACAAGGAUUAUAAACAUGAAUAUAGAUGAUCAUUUUGCAAAUACAGAGCACUAUCACUGUCUUCAUCUCAGUGUUUUAAGUGUGUUUUUCAUAAAUCAGGUUUAGAAAUGAUCUACAAUGGCUGCAAUGUUUUGUGCCAAGCCUGAAUAAGUGGGAUCUUUAAGGACAGACUCCAUAAAUACAGCAUUAUUCCUCCUGGUUCUGGUUAUGGCAACAAUAAUAAAUGGAAUGUAGGAAUGACAAUGUCAGUAUCAAAUCUAUUU